GCAAUUAUACCGUGAAACUGCGAAUGGCUCAUUAAAUCAGUUAUCGUUUAUUUGAUAGUACCUUACUACUUGGAUAACCGUGGUAAUUCUAGAGCUAAUACAUGCUGAAAACCCCAACUUCGGAAGGGGUGUAUUUAUUAGAUAAAAAACCAACGCCCUUCGGGGCUUCUUGGUGAUUCAUGAUAACUUCUCAGAUCGCAUGGCCUUGCGCCGGCGACGGUUCAUUCAAAUUUCUGCCCUAUCAACUUUCGAUGGUAAGGUAUUGGCUUACCAUGGUUUCAACGGGUAACGGGGAAUUAGGGUUCGAUUCCGGAGAGGGAGCCUGAGAAACGGCUACCACAUCCAAGGAAGGCAGCAGGCGCGCAAAUUACCCAAUCCCGACUCGGGGAGGUAGUGACAAUAAAUACUGAUACAGGGCUCUUUUGGGUCUUGUAAUUGGAAUGAGUACAAUUUAAACCUCUUAACGAGGAACAAUUGGAGGGCAAGUCUGGUGCCAGCAGCCGCGGUAAUUCCAGCUCCAAUAGCGUAUAUUAAAGUUGUUGCAGUUAAAAAGCUCGUAGUUGAACCUUUGGCCUGGCUGGUGGGUCCGCCUCACCGCGUGCACUCGUCCGGCCGGGCCUUCUCUUCUGGAGAACCUCAUGCCCUUCACUGGGUGUGCUGGGGACCAGGACUUUUACUUUGAAAAAAUUAGAGUGUUCAAAGCAGGCCUUUGCUCGAAUACGUUAGCAUGGAAUAAUAGAAUAGGACGUGCGGUCCUAUUUUGUUGGUUUCUAGGACCGCCGUAAUGAUUAAUAGGGACAGUCGGGGGCAUCAGUAUUCAAUUGUCAGAGGUGAAAUUCUUGGAUUUAUUGAAGACUAACUACUGCGAAAGCAUUUGCCAAGGAUGUUUUCAUUAAUCAGUGAACGAAAGUUAGGGGAUCGAAGACGAUCAGAUACCGUCGUAGUCUUAACCAUAAACUAUGCCGACUAGGGAUCGGGCGGUGUUUCUAUAUUGACCCGCUCGGCACCUUACGAGAAAUCAAAGUG
rnacentral:rRNA from 1 species